rnacentral:tRNA from 1 species
GCCGGAGUGGUGGAACUGGUAGACACGAGGGACUUAAAAUCCCUUGCUUUCACGAGCGUACGGGUUCGAUUCCCGUCUCUGGUACCA